CAGUCGCCGCGGUAAUACGAAGGGUGCAAGCGUUACUCGGAAUUACUGGGCGUAAAGCGUGCGUAGGCGGUUUGUUAGGUCUGCUGUGAAAUCCCCGGGCUCAACCUGGGAAUGGCAGUGGAUACUGGCAAGCUAGAGUGUGUCAGAGGAUGGUGGAAUUCCCGGUGUAGCGGUGAAAUGCGUAGAGAUCGGGAGGAACAUCAGUGGCGAAGGCGGCCAUCUGGGACAACACUGACGCUGAGGCACGAAAGCGUGGGGAGCAAACAGGAUUAGAUACCCCCGUAGUCCCUGUCUCUUAUCC
rnacentral:rRNA from 1 species